GGCCUCGCAGUUUAGCUGGUAGAGCGUGCGCUGUACAAAAGCGUGAGUGGUGUCCAUGCGUGGGUUCGAAUCCCACCGAGGGUA
rnacentral:tRNA from 1 species